rnacentral:rRNA from 1 species
CCUACGGGAGGCAGCAGUAAGGAAUAUUGCUCAAUGGUGGAGACCCUGAAGCAGCAACGCCGCGUGGGGGAUGAAGGUAUUCAGAUUGUAAACUCCUUUUGUUAGAGAAGAUAAUGACGGUAUCUAACGAAUAAGCACCGGCUAACUCCGUGACAGCAGCCGCGGUAAUACGGAGGGUGCAAGCGUUACUCGGAAUCACUGGGCGUAAAGAGCGCGUAGGCGGGAUAGCAAGUCAGCUGUGAAAUCCUAGGGCUUAACCAUAGAACUGCAGUUGAAACUGUUAGUCUAGAGUAGGGGAGAGGUAUGUGGAAUGCUUGGUGUAGGGGUAAAAUCCGUAGAGAUCAAGAGGAAUACUCAUUGCGAAGGCGACCUGCUAGAACAUAACUGACGCUGAGGCGCGAAAGCGUGGGGAGCAAACAGGAUUAGAUACCCCGGUAGUC